CAACCAAUCAGCGGAUGCCUCACACAGGCCUUUGGAAUACCUGCCUUUUUGCUAUGUCCCUUCAGCCUGAACAGCAAGAUCCCUGGGAAUUCUGCUGCCCUGUCAUGGAUUGGAGGCUGUAGGUUUAUAUCCAAAGAACCUGCUGAUUAUGUGGCACAUCAGAGUACUCACACACCCAACAAGAAAACAUUUGGAGAAUGUGUUGAAGUUGCCCAGAAGGAUUACCAGGUGUCUAAAGGUUACUAUCCAAAGCCAAGGAACUGUUCUGGAGUUCUGGAGGGGUUCUGGAGUGAGGGCUGGGACAGCCAGAGGACUUCUGCAGGGAGUUGGAAAGCUCUGUGUAGAGAAGGACAGGAGAUCCUCCUGUGCAGCCUUCAGAAGGGGCAGCAGCGAGGAGCUGGUCAGACUGGCAGGUUCAGUUGGGCAGGAGGCCCCAUGGCAGCAGCAGGGACAGGGCGCUGCCCUCACGUGGGAGGUGCUGGGACUGGACAGAGACGCCAGUCAGUUCUCAGCAAACCCCAGAGCAGCCCCACAGUGCUUCUGAUUCUCCUUGACCCCUUCCUUCCGCAGGCCUGCUUUUUCUCACCUCAGAGGCAUCGUGUAGCACUGAGAGAGGAAGGCGUGAGAGGUCAGAAGGUUGGGCCGCAGCCUGGGCGGGGCGGGAAGGGUGGGAGCUCCAGAGAAAUUGAGACCAGGGCUCGGAGCCCACCCUGGCCCUCACUAGCACGUGGUCCUCGGAAGAUGCCCAAGGCCCACGGCCUCAGUUCUUCAUCUGGGAGGCGAGCAGGUGUGAAGAGCCCUGUGUGUUGGGCUGCAGGAUGGGCCUGAGGGACAGGACAGAGCUCAAAGGGUCUGGCAGCUGUUAGCCCUGUGAUGGCGGCGCAGGAAUCUCUCACACUGUUAACCCCAGAAACUCCCCCAGUCUCUCCUCCUGCAUUUUAUUUUAUUAUCCUGUUCAGCACAGAAUUCAGUCUCCUCCAGAGGCUUCUCAUGUUUUGUUAUUUAGCUUUUGUGGUCGAUAUUGUACUUCUCAUUUGCUUCAUUUUCUCUUCUUUAGUUUGCCAGGGUAGAUUUUGGGAACAGAGACAGCAGCCUACACUUCACCACCAUCUUGAGAGCUACAGGUAAAGCACUAAAUCUGUAAAUAAUUUAAGCAGACUUGAAACCUUUAUAACAGUUUUCCCCCAUAAAUGAAUAUGGUAUACUGCUAGAGACUUUUUAUUUGAGACUAUUUAUUUGAG
rnacentral:lncRNA from 1 species